GCAGAAAUAAUGUGACUGUUUAGAAAAAAGCAAGUGUUUUUUCUCUAAACAGUCACAUUUUAUCUGCUUUAGGACGAAAAACAUCGAGCUCACAAGAUGCUCCACCAUCCUCCUCAACACCAGAGGCACACCAUUCUCCACCAGGCCCUUCUCCUGCAGCUCAAACAGGGACACUCCAAACAGCUUGGGAGGAGAGCAGACAGCAGCAGUCAGCCGUGGACACUACAGGCACAGAGGACAACGCUGGAGCUGCAUCAGCCCUGAGGUCCAAAGCUGACGAUACCAUGCACCUCCCAGGGCGUGUCUGUUCCAGGAGCCGUGCAGGCAAAAGGACCUCCAGAGUCACCCUACGAGGGGAGCAUGAGAGGGCAGUCACCAAAGAUUUACUGUACAGUCCAAUUAAGAAAACCCGAAACCCACAGCCAACAGCCAUUUUCAAUCAAGGGCGGACUUCAGCUCAUCUGGAGACUCAUAGCCAGCACAGAUCAUGGAGGGCCUGAGGACGUCCCACCACAGGGUGUACCGGCAGGCAUCACAGCCCCAGGUUUGGGCAGACAGAUGGGGCUGAUCUCCCUCGUCAUGUUGACAGGCUUUGCCAAAUGCACCAGCGCGAUGUCAUUGGUGA